AACGAACGCUGGCGGCAUGCCUAACACAUGCAAGUCGAACGGUGGCUUCGGCCAUAGUGGCGCACGGGUGAGUAACGCGUGGGAAACUGCCCAUCAGUGGGGAAUAACAGAGGGAAACUUCUGCUAAUACCGCAUACGCCCUUCGGGGGAAAGAUUUAUCGCUGAUGGAUGUGCCCGCGUCCGAUUAGGUAGUUGGUGGGGUAAAGGCCUACCAAGCCUACGAUCGGUAGCUGGUCUGAGAGGAUGAUCAGCCACACUGGGACUGAGACACGGCCCAGACUCCUACGGGAGGCAGCAGUGGGGAAUAUUGGACAAUGGGCGAAAGCCUGAUCCAGCAAUGCCGCGUGAAUGAUGAAGGCCUUAGGGUUGUAAAGUUCUUUCGGGUGGGACGAUGAUGACGGUACCACCAGAAGAAGCCCCGGCUAACUUCGUG
rnacentral:rRNA from 2 species